rnacentral:rRNA from 1 species
GGAGGGGGUGCUUACACAUGCAGUCGAACGAUGAACCGCUUUCGGGCGGGGAUUAGUGGCGAACGGGUGAGUAACACGUGGGCAAUCUGCCCUGCACUCUGGGACAAGCCCUGGAAACGGGGUCUAAUACCGGAUAUGACUGUCCAUCGCAUGGUGGAUGGUGUAAAGCUCCGGCGGUGCAGGAUGAGCCCGCGGCCUAUCAGCUUGUUGGUGAGGUAGUGGCUCACCAAGGCGACGACGGGUAGCCGGCCUGAGAGGGCGACCGGCCACACUGGGACUGAGACACGGCCCAGACUCCUACGGGAGGCAGCAGUGGGGAAUAUUGCACAAUGGGCGAAAGCCUGAUGCAGCGACGCCGCGUGAGGGAUGACGGCCUUCGGGUUGUAAACCUCUUUCAGCAGGGAAGAAGCGAAAGUGACGGUACCUGCAGAAGAAGCGCCGGCUAACUACGUGCCAGCAGCCGCGGUAAUACGUAGGGCGCAAGCGUUGUCCGGAAUUAUUGGGCGUAAAGAGCUCGUAGGCGGCUUGUCACGUCGGUUGUGAAAGCCCGGGGCUUAACCCCGGGUCUGCAGUCGAUACGGGCAGGCUAGAGUUCGGUAGGGGAGAUCGGAAUUCCUGGUGUAGCGGUGAAAUGCGCAGAUAUCAGGAGGAACACCGGUGGCGAAGGCGGAUCUCUGGGCCGAUACUGACGCUGAGGAGC